rnacentral:rRNA from 1 species
AUUGAACGCUGGCGGCAGGCCUAACACAUGCAAGUCGAGCGAGCGGCGGACGGGUGAGUAAUGUCUGGGAAACUGCCUGAUGGAGGGGGAUAACAACAGGAAACGGUAGCUAAUACCGCAUACCAUCAGAUGUGCCCAGAUGGGCUUGGCUAGUAGGUGGGGUAACGGCUCACAUAGGCGACGAUCCCUAGCUGGUCUGAGAGGAUGAACAGCCACACGGGAACUGAGACACGGUCCAGACUCCUACGGGAGGCAGCAGUGGGGAAUAUUGCACAAUGGGCGCAAGCCUGAUGCAGCCAUGCCGCGUGUGUGAAGAAGGCCUUCGGGUUGUAAAGCACUUUCAGCGGGGAGGCGUUACCCGAAGAAGAAGCACCGGCUAACUCCGUGCCAGCAGCCGCGGUAAUUC